AGAUGAUCAGAUAAAUCUGAAUUCCAGAUAAACAACAAAUAAUUUUUAGUAUAAGUAUACAGUAAGUAUGCACUAUUUGGGACACACUUACGCUAAAAAAUAAUUCAUCGUUUAUCUAAAAUUCAAACUUAACCAAGCAUCCUGUAUUUU
rnacentral:miRNA from 1 species